CCCGGCGGCACUAGCGCGGUGGUCCCGCCUGACCGCAUGCCGAACUCAGAAGUGAAACGCCGUAGCGCCGAUGGUAGUGUGGGGUCUCCCCAUGCGAGAGUAGGGAACUGCCAGGC
rnacentral:rRNA from 1 species